rnacentral:lncRNA from 1 species
AACUUUUGGCUGAAGAAGGUCCUUUCUCUUAUUUGUAUGUGAAUGUUUAUUGUAUCUUACGUGGAGAUAUCCUUCAAGUUGAAGUCUCUCAUUUUCUUGCUCAAGGAUCCUGCAUUAUUAACAAAAUUCUUUUCUUUCUUGAAGGAAAGUCAUUAGUUUCUUCAAGAUACAAAACAUUCAUAUAGCAUAUUUCUUAACUAGGUGACUCAAUCAUAAGAUAUGACAACAAUUGAA